rnacentral:rRNA from 1 species
GACGAACGCUGGCGGCGUGCUUAACACAUGCAAGUCGAACGGAAAGGCCCUGCUUGCAGGGUACUCGAGUGGCGAACGGGUGAGUAACACGUGGGUGAUCUGCCCUGCACUUCGGGAUAAGCCUAGGAAACUGGGUCUAAUACCGGAUAGGAGCCAUUUUUAGUGUGAUGGUUGGAAAGUUUUUUCGGUGUAGGAUGAGCUCGCGGCCUAUCAGCUUGUUGGUGGGGUAAUGGCCUACCAAGGCGGCGACGGGUAGCCGGCCUGAGAGGGUGGACGGCCACAUUGGGACUGAGAUACGGCCCAGACUCCUACGGGAGGCAGCAGUGGGGAAUAUUGCACAAUGGGCGCAAGCCUGAUGCAGCGACGCCGCGUGGGGGAUGACGGCCUUCGGGUUGUAAACUCCUUUCGCUAGGGACGAAGCUUUUUGUGACGGUACCUAGAUAAGAAGCACCGGCUAACUACGUG